AAAAUUAAGAGAUUAUUAUUAGAGUUUAUUUAUGGGUCUUAAACUAGGUUCUGCUUGGUUAUUAUAUUAUAUCUUGAGUUGAUUUUGAAAAUGUAUUCAUAUCUUUUGGUUCUGUAUAUACCUUCCCAUAUACCUUCCCUACUUUGCACCUUUAACUUAACCGAAUUUCAAAAACAAUUCUUUUCACACUUCGUGUGUACACAGAGUAGAAAGCCCCUGAAUAUUCCAAAGAAUCGGCAUGAACAUUUCGAAAAAUAAUCAGGCAAACUGGGCAGCAGCGAAAUUGAAAUGAAACCAUGAAAAUUCAAAAACACACAGGCCAAAGCGAAAAACGAUGGCAAAUACAAAAAUAUAAAUAAUAAAACGAGCGGAAAAAUCACUUUUGGACUAUGCAGAUAUACUUGGCGUAUACUUUAUAUAAGGGUUCUUUGGUUUUGCGACUUAUCGGCUACUCCAAAACGAAAUCCUGUGGAUAAACAAAGGCGACAGAGCCAUAAAGAGCACGGAUUACAAGGCACGAUUGUUUAUGGUUUGUAUGUAUGUCUGGGUGUACGAAUUCGAAUAUAUGUAUAUAUAUUUUUUUUUCGAUUUUUUUUGCUUUUACCACAUUUGGCUAACGAUACGAGGCAAAAAACCCAGAC